AACGAACGCUGGCGGCAUGCUUAACACAUGCAAGUCGAACGAGACGUCCGGGCAUAGGUGCGCAGGUGGGCGUACCGCGGGGUAACUUGCACGUGGGUUCGCUAUCACUGCCCGAGAGGUAUGCUAAUACAACUUGAUCUCUUCGGGCAAAAGAUUUCUCGCUUUUGGGUGGGCGCGGGUUAGUUUCGUUGGUUGGUAGGGGACAAGCCUCCCAAGGGCACGAUCCAUAGCUGGUCUGAGAGGAAGAUCAUCCACAGUGGGAGUGAGACACGGCCCAGACUCCUACGGGAGGCAGCAGUGGGGAAUAUUGGACAAUGGGCGCAAGCCUGAUCCAGCCAUGCCGCGUGAGUGAUGAAGGCCUUAGGGUUGUAAAGCUCUUUUACCCGAGAUGAUAAUGACGGUACCGGGAGAAGAAGCACCGGCUAACUCCGUG
rnacentral:rRNA from 1 species